rnacentral:rRNA from 1 species
UGGAGGAUAGCCCGAGAAAUUCGGACUAAUCUUCUAUACAUAGUGAAACGGCAUCRUWUAUAUUAAAGCUCAGCGCAUAAAGAUGAGUAUGCGGAUGAUYAGCUAGUUGGUGAGGUAAUGGCUCACCAAGGCUACGAUCAMUAGGGGUACUGAGAGGUUAAACCCCCACACUGGUASUGAGACACGGACCAGACUCAUACGGGAGGCAGCAGUAAGGAAUAUUGGACAAUGGUGGCAACASUGAUCCAGCCAUGCCGCGUGCAGGAUGAAGGCGCUACGCGUUGUAAACUGCUUUUGUACGGGAGAAAACUUAUCUACGUGUAGAUAGCUGAUAGUACCGUAAGAAUAAGCAUCGGCUAACUUCGUGCCAGCAGCCGCGGUAAUACGAAGGAUGCAAGCGUUAUCCGGAUUUAUUGGGUUUAAAGGGUGCGUAGGCGGACUUAUAAGUCAGUGGUGAAAUCUCGAUGCUUAACAUCGAACGUGCCAUUGAUACUGUAGGUCUUGAGUACAGAUGCCGUUGGCGGAAUGUGUCAUGUAGCGGUGAAAUGCAUAGAUACGACACAGAACACCGAUUGCGAAGGCAGCUGACGAAACUGUAACUGACGCUGAGGCACGAAAGCGUGGGGAUCAAACAGGAUUAGAUACCCUGGUAGUCCACGCCCUAAACUAUGAUUACUAGCUGUCGGCGAUAUACUGCCGGUAGCCAAGCGAAAGCGAUAAGUAAUCCACCUGGGGAGUACGCUCGCAAGGGCG